AUGAAGCGGCCCGGCGGCGGAAACCCCUCCUCCCUCCACCAGAUGGCCAGCCCCAAUGAUAUGGACUACGGCGUGGUCGGGAUGGAGGCGGAUGGGGACGCGGAGGAGGAGAUGAUGGCGUGCGGCGGCGGCGGCGGCUGCGGGGGAGGGGAGAAGAAGCGGCGGCUGAGCGCGGAGCAGGUGCGCGCCCUGGAGCGGAGCUUCGAGGUGGAGAACAAGCUGGAGCCGGAGCGCAAGGCGCGGCUGGCGCGCGACCUCGGCCUGCAGCCGCGCCAGGUCGCCGUCUGGUUCCAGAACCGCCGGGCGCGCUGGAAGACCAAGCAGCUCGAGCGCGACUACAACGCGCUGCGCCACUCGUACGACGCGCUCCGCGUCGACCACGACGCCCUCCGCCGCGACAAGGAAGCCCUCCUCGCCGAGAUCAAGGAUCUGAAGGGGAAGCUGGGGGACGAAGAGGCCGCGGCCAGCUUCACGUCAGUGAAGGAGGAGCCGGCGGCGUCCGACGGCCCACCGCCCGCGGGCAUGGGGUCAUCCGACAGCGACUCCAGCGGGGUGCUGAACGACACGGACGCGACCGGCGCCACGCCAACAGAGGAGGCGCCAGCUCCGGAGAUGGGGACGCUGCUCGGCGGGCCCGGGGCGGCCGGCGCGGCGGCGGCGGGGCACGGGCAGAUGUUCCUGCACGGGAAUUUCCUGAAGGUGGAGGAGGACGAGACGGGGUUCCUGGACGACGAGGAGCCGUGCGGUGGCUUCUUCGCCGACGAGCCGCCGCUGGCGUGGUGGACCGAGCCGACGGAUCCCUGGAAAUGA
rnacentral:rRNA from 1 species